CCGAGGUUUCCACGGCGCAUCCGCCUCUAGGCUCGGCAGCCGGCAAUGCCCAUGGAAACCCCGAA
rnacentral:pre_miRNA from 1 species